rnacentral:ncRNA from 1 species
CCGCCGAAUGUCGCAUCGGCUGAUCACCGAUGGCUCAACGGCUUCCGGCGGACAGGUUAAUAAAGUAGCUGCCUUUUGAGCGGGUUAGCUGCAGACCGAAACGGAGAGAUUCGUUUGGACUGCGGUAAGUUUCCCAUACCCGUUUUGCGGCAGCGCC